rnacentral:tRNA from 2 species
AUCAAAAUGACUGAUUAAAGUAAUAAACUGUAAAUUUAUUUAUGAAUAAUAUUUUUAUUCUUUUGAUA